AGAGUUUGAUCAUGGCUCAGGAUGAACGCUAGCGGCAGGCUUAAUACAUGCAAGUCGUGGGGCAGCAUGUCCCGCAGCAAUGCGGGAUGAUGGCGACCGGCAAACGGGUGCGGAACACGUACACAACCUUCCUUUUAGUGGGGAAUAGCCCGGGGAAGCCCGGAUUAAUACCCCGUAAUAUAAUGAAGUGGCAUCACUUUAUUAUUAUAGCAGCAAUGCGCUUAAAGAUGGGUGUGCGACUGAUUAGGCAGUUGGCGGGGUAACGGCCCACCAAACCUACGAUCAGUAACUGGUGUGAGAGCACGACCAGUCACACGGGCACUGAGACACGGGCCCGACUCCUACGGGAGGCAGCAGUAAGGAAUAUUGGUCAAUGGACGCAAGUCUGAACCAGCCAUGCCGCGUGGAGGAUGAAGGUCCUCUGGAUUGUAAACUUCUUUUAUCUGGGAAGAAAUCCACGAAUUCUUUUGUGGUUGACGGUACCAGAUGAAUAAGCACCGGCUAACUCCGUGCCAGCAGCCGCGGUAAUACGGAGGGUGCAAGCGUUAUCCGGAUUCACUGGGUUUAAAGGGUGCGUAGGUGGGCAGGUAAGUCAGUGGUGAAAUCUCCGGGCUUAACUCGGAAACUGCCAUUGAUACUAUCUGUCUUGAAUACCGUGGAGGUCAGCGGAAUAUGUCAUGUAGCGGUGAAAUGCUUAGAUAUGACAUAGAACACCAAUUGCGAAGGCAGCUGGCUACACGAAUAUUGACACUGAUGCACGAAAGCGUGGGGAUCAAACAGGAUUAGAUACCCUAGUAGUCC
rnacentral:rRNA from 1 species